rnacentral:rRNA from 1 species
UAGGUUAAUGAGGCGAACCGGGGGAACUGAAACAUCUAAGUACCCCGAGGAAAAGAAAUCAACCGAGAUUCCCCCAGUAGCGGCGAGCGAACGGGGAGGAGCCCAGAGCCUGAAUCAGCAUGUGUGUUAGUGGAAGCGUCUGGAAAGGCGCGCGAUACAGGGUGACAGCCCCGUACACAAAAGCGCAUGUGCUGUGAGCUCGAUGAGUAGGGCGGGACACGUGGUAUCCUGUCUGAAUAUGGGGGGACCAUCCUCCAAGGCUAAAUACUCCUGACUGACCGAUAGUGAACCAGUACCGUGAGGGAAAGGCGAAAAGAACCCCGGCGAGGGGAGUGAAAAAGAACCUGAAACCGUGUACGUACAAGCAGUGGGNNUGACUGCGUACCUUUUGUAUAAUGGGUCAGCGACUUAUAUUCUGUAGCAAGGUUAACCGUAUAGGGGAGCCGGAGGGAAACCGAGUCUUAAUUGGGCGUUAAGUUGCAGGGUAUAGACCCGAAACCCGGUGAUCUAGCCAUGGGCAGGUUGAAGGUUGGGUAACACUAACUGGAGGACCGAACCGACUAAUGUUGAAAAAUUAGCGGAUGACCUGUGGCUGGGGGUGAAAGGCCAAUCAAACCGGGAGAUAGCUGGUUCUCCCCGAAAGCUAUUUAGGUAGCGCCUCGUGAAUUCAUCUCCGGGGGUAGAGCACUGUUUCGGCUAGGGGGCCAUCCCGGCUUACCAACCCGAUGCAAACUGCGAAUACCGGAGAAUGUUAUCACGGGAGACACACGGCGGGUGCUAACGUCCGUCGUGAAGAGGGAAACAACCCAGACCGCCAGCUAAGGUCCCAAAGUCAUGGUUAAGUGGGAAACGAUGUGGGAAGGCCCAGACAGCCAGGAUGUUGGCUUAGAAGCAGCCAUCAUUUAAAGAAAGCGUAAUAGCUCACUGGUCGAGUCGGCCUGCGCGGAAGAUGUAACGGGGCUAAACCAUGCACCGAAGCUGCGGCAGCGAACGUAUCACCCAAGACAACUUUACGGAGUUGACGAUUGACGG